rnacentral:rRNA from 1 species
AUGCGGCUGGCCACGGUUAUCCAUACGCUAAUCUCCCCAGCGCAAUCGGCUUUUCUCCGGACCAAGUGUAUCCACGAUAGCUUCCUCUAUGUCCAGAACGGCGUCAAGGCACUCCAUAGAAAGAAAACUCCCGCCCUGCUCCUAAAACUUGACAUUGCCAAGGCAUUCGACAACGUGUCAUGGGAAUACAUACUAGAGCUGCUGCAAAAGCUAGGUUUUAGCGCUAGAUGGAGAGAUUGGAUUGCCGUCCUACUCUCUACUUCAUCACCGUCCUUCUUGCUAAAUGGCAUCCCCGGCCGGCAGAUCCUCCACCGUCGAGGACUGCGACAAGGCAACCCCCUUUCGCCAUUCCUAUUCAUCCCAGCGAUCGACCCUCUGCAUCACAUUCUACGGGAGGCUACCCAGCGGCAACUGAUUGCACCAAUAUCAGGAAGGGAACUAAAGCUUCGAAUCAGUCUCUACGCUGACGAGGCGGUCAUCUUCGCCAACCCCGUGCAACACGAGAUAGAUGCACUCCUAGACAUCCUCAAAGACUUUGGGAAAUCAACGGGCCUGCAUAUAAACCCAUCCAAAUCGUCGGCCCUCCCCAUUAGGUGCGAGAAUAUCGACCUAACGACCGUGCUACAAAACUUCGGGGGCAAUCUAGGACAGUUUCCCACUACCUACCUCGGGCUCCCGAUCACCAUGGCUCGGCUUAGACUGGCAAACCUGCAGUUCAUCUUAGAUAGAAUCAAAGCAAGAUUGGCAGGCUGGAAGGGCAAGCUACUACCCAUCGCCAGUAGGAGAGUGCUGGUUCGAUGUGUUCUUAGCGCCAUGCCAACUUUUGCGCUCACUGUACUGAGAGUCCCCAAGAAGCUACUGAAAGAAAUUGACAAGUGCAGACACGGGUUCUUAUGGAAACAAGAUGAUGACCUAACGGGGGCCAGCUGCAAGGUAAGCUGGCCGAUGGUGUGUGCGCCAACCUCUAGGGGGGGCCUGGGCAUCCCGGACCUGGAUCGCUUCAGCGGCGCCUUGCGGCUGCGAUGGCUCUGGAUCACCUGGGCUGACCCGGAUCGCCCAUGGGUGAGCACGACACCACCAUGCAACAAGGAAGACAAAGCUCUGUUUGCGGCUGUGACUACGGUCUCAAUUGGAGAUGGCUCAACAGCCCUGUUCUGGCACUCCUCUUGGAUUGGCCCAAACAAGCUGGCCUCUGCCUACCCAGCCCUCCUCAACCACUCAAAGCACAAAAACAGGACAGUACGAGAUGCACUUCGAGAUGACACUUGGAUUGAAGACCUGAGACAUGGUGACACACAGCCGCUGCUGCAGCAGUUUGUCCAGCUCAACCGCUUGAUCAUCGCCGCUACCCCGGAGCUCCGGGAAGGAGAGAGGGAUAAAAUUCGAUGGAACCAUGAGGUAACAGGGAAGUACACAUCCAGCUCGGCCUAUGCUAUGCAGUUCCAGGGACGGAUCCUGUCAGUUUUGGAUGAGCUCAUUUGGAAAGCAUGGGCACCAGGGAACAUCAAAUUCUUUGCUUGGCUGUUAUUGCAAGAUCGCCUCUGGACAAAUGAUCGUCUCCAACGACGCGGUUGGCCAAACAAUUAUUUCUGCCAGCUCUGCGUCCGCAACCUGGAGUCGGCCCACCACUUGCUCUGGAAUUGCCGAACAACCAUAGAGGUCUGGAGAAUGGUGGGAGCAAGAGAAGGAUGCCGACAGCUAGCUCCACAUUACUCAUGGCAAAAAUCCACCUCUCCAGCGAUCAUGCACCGGAUGAUCAGCAAGACCCCGCCGGCCCAACGGAAGGGCGCCAACACGAUCAUGCUUUUGACAUGCUGGGAGAUCUGGAAAGAGCAGAACAACUGCACAUUCAGAGGCAAGUAG